UACGUAGGGGGCAAGCGUUGUCCGGAUUUAUUGGGCGUAAAGAGCGUGUAGGCGGCCAGGUAGGUCCGCUGUGAAAACUCGAGGCUCAACCUCGAGAUGUCGGCGGAAACCAUCUGGCUAGAGUCCGGAAGAGGAGAGUGGAAUUCCACGUGUAGCGGUGAAAUGCGUAGAGAUGUGGAGGAACACCAGUGGCGAAGGCGACUCUUUGGCCUGUAACUGACGCUGAGGCGCGAAAGCGUGGGGGAGCAAACAGG
rnacentral:rRNA from 1 species